UUGAAAUAAAUUCAAAAUUGGCAAACAAAUGGAAAUAAAUACAGUGAAACUCGUCUAUAGCACUGAUUUUUGGGCUGGUGGUGGGUGGGAACUAACUCAUUAUAGACCGCUCCGCAUUUUUUUUUUCACGCUUGAGUUCUCGUCUGAGUGACAGCCUCAUAUCCCGCGCACCCCACGCAGCAACUGUUACACCUACAUGCGGCGCGGCGUCAAUUCUCGGAAGGGCUAUAGAAGGGAGGGCUUUUGAAGAGUUUUACUGCAUAUAUAAUAAUUUAGAUGCCUAAUUGUACAUAAAUUAAAUACCUUCCCCAAAAAGAAUAAUAUGAAAAAUGAGAAUUUUAACAAAUCCUUUUCCUUUAGUGCUGACAUCUCGUCUCGUAACCUCAAGGACACUCCUUGAAUGCUCUCACUUGCAUCGCAGCCUUGUUGUCUGACGUUUCCACUGCGUGACGCUGGCAUCCAGACAAAGUUCUUAAAGUUACCAACGGAACGCUUAUUAACUGCUACUAAAAGAAGAUGCACUUGAUGCCGCCUUCGGCCCAUGUAAAUGACAGGUAAGGGAGAAAUCUUUCCAACAACUGCAGCAAUUAUCCAGUUUGCUAUUGCAUCAAGGCAAGAAGCUAAGGGACUUCGGUGAUGCAAGCGUAUUGAUCAGUAUAGGAGAAAACUUUUAAAAUGUCAUCAACUAGUGCGACCAAAAAAAAAUUGGUAACAUGUAUCUCUGAUUAAUUUAAACAGCCGUAAUUUAAUACUAAAGCAGGUUCCUUAGUUUUUUUCAAUUAUUUAAGGUUAUAUUUGUGGAGCAUAUUAUGAAUGAUAUUAUAAAUUCUUAUACUAUUCUUUAUAUAUUAAAUACACAUGAUAAAUUCCUUAGAGUUCAACUUAGCUUUAGAUAUUAUGAAUUCAUUCAUUUUUAUUCAUCUUAUACGUCGAAACAAUUUUAUGAAUUCAAAUACAUUUUUUUUCUUUUUAUUUUCAUGUCCGUCGCGGAAAAAAUCUAAAAAUAUUCAAUUAUAUUUGUAUUUUCUACGUAUAAAAAGAAAAUAAUUUAUUCUAAGAAUGUACGUUUUCGUUUACUAUUUUAUCAUCCUCGUCUAAACAUCUGAAAGAGAAAAAAAUGUACGGUAAUAAUGUACUAUUUAUUAGAUAAUUAUAAACUUACAAACAAUACUUAA